rnacentral:miRNA from 1 species
AAGGCACUGAUUUCUGAAG